GGAGUAAUGUGCAAGAUUGUGUGUCACAUGUUAGAUUUGUAUGAGAUGAAGAUUUGGUUCUAUCAUAUAAUGGUGUGUCUUGUGCAAAACAAUUGAUACAAGGGGAACAUUGUACCCAAGUAAGAUCACUACCUGUAUCAAAAAUAGCAAGUUUUUCAACAGGGGGUGUUCCUAUAUAAAUUCUCAUAAGAUAAUCACCAUUAUUUGGUUUUAUAAUAGAUUCAGUUGAUU
rnacentral:lncRNA from 1 species